UACGGAGGGUGCAAGCGUUAUCCGGAUUCACUGGGUUUAAAGGGUGCGUAGGUGGGCUGGUAAGUCAGUGGUGAAAUCUCCAGGCUUAACUUGGAAACUGCCAUUGAUACUAUCAGUCUUGAAUACCGUGGAGGUCAGCGGAAUAUGUCAUGUAGCGGUGAAAUGCUUAGAUAUGACACAGAACUCCGAUUGCGAAGGCAGCUCACUAAACUGUAACUGACGCUGAGGCACGAAAGCGUGGGGAUCAAACAGG
rnacentral:rRNA from 1 species